UUGCCACAUGAAAAAAAUAAUCAGAACCAACCAUUAUGCCAUGUCAUUCUGGACUGGACUUUAAAAAAAAAAACCAACCAUUAAAAUAUGCGAAGAGUCACGGUUUAACCUCGUUCAACUCCAGUUACAUCAUAAUAAAACAAUGCAUGCAUUGAUUGUUGAUUAUUAGUCUUCUAGCUACCACAUAUUUGCCAUCCUAAAUCAAAAUCGAUUUUUACAACUUUAACUUGCCCCAUACUUAAUAUUCUUAUAGCUGGUGAACAAUUUAAUUUAGGAAAUCGUUAUAUUUCAUGUCAAAAAUGCCUACUGUAUUCAUUGAAAAUUAAGUAACAUAUAUUCUACCAUUAGGAUCAAGAACUCUAAUCUGAAGACUAUAUAUUCAUCCCCUCUCACUCUGAAAAAACCACCACCGCCAACCGUUCAAGAUUUUGUGUAAGUCAAUAUUUGAAAGUCACAAUUUUGUCAAUUUUUUGGCAUAAGUGAUAUGUUUAAGAGUUGGAUAGUUAAGUCCGUAUGCGGUUGGGGACGUGGGGUUUGGCUCACCUUCCACUGUUUAUUUUCAAUUGUUUUAAUAAUAGAUUCAUAUUGAUAAUCUGUGCGAACAAACGUAUAAGAUUUUAGUUGGUUAAGAUUAAACAUAGACCGACAAUCUUCCGUCUUUAGCUAUUGGUCUCCGCCAAAAAAUUUUGAUUUAAUAUAAUAGUUCCUGCCUGCUAAGCUACUACAAUUGUAGUUCACGUCUAUCGGUCAUAUAAAAUAUUUAGUUUUUUUUUGGCUUUAUAAGAUUUUAGUUUGUAAUUAAUCUCAUGGUUCGAUUUUAUCCAUUGAGACCUUUUUCACUAUGUUUUAUUAUCAAACCAUUUCACUUUGCCUAACAUUUAAAUAUUCUUUCCUUUGUUUAAGGAUUGAUUGUUCCUCAA
rnacentral:lncRNA from 1 species